rnacentral:rRNA from 1 species
UACGUAGGUGGCAAGCGUUGUUCGGAAUUAUUGGGCGUAAAAGGGCGCGUAGGCGGUUUUGUUAAGUCGGCUGUGAAAUCCCGAGGCUCAACCUCGGGUCUGCAGUCGAUACGAGCAAACUAGAGUGUUGCAGGGGAGACUGGGAAUUCCUGGUGUAGCGGUGAAAUGCGUAGAUAUCGGGAGGAACACCAGUGGCGAAGGCGGCUUCCUGGACCAGUACUGGACGCUGAGGCGCGAAAGCUAGGGGAGCAAACAGGAUUAAGAAACC